ensembl:lncRNA
GUGACACUAAAGGGUUCAGGGCACAGCCCAGGUAAUGUCUUGGCAACAAAAGUUCCACACAUUCUAAAACGGAGCCACUGAGGCGCUAGAAGAAUGGCAAGACGGAGCUAGUGGGGUGCUGUGGACCCCAGGAGCUUCGGUCUCUAUAAGCUCCUGCAAGACAAGUCACAAGAAGGAACUGUGAAGGAUGACCCCAGGGACCCAGCCCAGGGGCAGGAGGCAGGGCCAGCAGGCUGAAGUUUUAAGAGGUCCAAUUGGUAAGAAAGUGCCUGGGGCUGGGACCCAGAAGAGGAGAGGAAAGCUCCUUCCCUGACCUCUGACCCACUGUCCCAGCCAGCUCCCAGAAACUGAGCUGAGUGUGCAGUCAUCCCUUAGCCGUGUGGAGGGACAGGUUUCUGGGACUACCACCUGGGGCACCCUUCACCUUGAGACCCAGCAAAAGAGGGCCAUCUCUACCUGCCCAACCCUUGCUCUCUUUCUGCUCAUGCGGGGCCACUGUCUCCAGCC